rnacentral:misc_RNA from 1 species
UUUUUUUUUUUUCCUUCAAUUCAAGUGCCUUUUGUUUGCUGAGAAAUUCCAUUAACGAGAUCAUGAGAUAUCCAAACUAUUGAUAACUGAAUUUUCUGAUACUCUCCUCAAAUAUUUAUUCCAUUAAAGUUUGUUUUGCUAGAGUCUGUUUUUGUUAUCUUCUCAGAUGUACUUUCUUUGAGUUUCUCUGCUUUCCAUUUUGGAAUAAAACAAAUUCUGCUUUUAUUUCGUGUCUUGCUUGUAUUUCUGUAGUUGUUUUCUGUAUUGUCAAAAUGUCCUGAAGACUGGAUUGCUGGAAGCCUGACAUGCAUGAUUGUGGCUUAAGAGUUUACCUUUCGUUUUCACCUUUAGAAGCUUUGUAUGUUUGUAUGUCUUCUUUCAGCGGUUUAAAUUUACAAUUUGCCAACACAGGUUGAGGCUAAGAGAGCUUUA